rnacentral:tRNA from 1 species
UUCCUGGUGGCUCAGAGGGUAAAGCGUCUGCCUGCAAUAUGGAAGACCCAGGUUCAAUUCCUGGGUUGGGAA